rnacentral:rRNA from 1 species
UACGGGGGGGGCAAGCGUUGCUCGGAAUUACUGGGCGUAAAGGGCUCGUAGGCGGCCAACUAAGUCAGACGUGAAAUCCCCAGGCUCAACCUGGGAACUGCGUCUGAUACUGGAUGGCUUGAAUUCGGGAGAGGGAUGCAGAAUUCCAGGUGUAGCGGUGAAAUGCGUAGAUAUCUGGAGGAAUACCGGUGGCGAAGGCGGCAUCCUGGACCGACAUUGACGCUGAUGAGCGAAAGCUAGGGGAGCAAACGGG